CAGCCACAACUGCCAUCCCAGGCACUUGGCUGGAGACAGCGAGCAGCCAACAUGCUCUGCUGCUUUCCCAGGCCUCGAGGCCCCAGCCUCAGGACCGCGCACGGAAAAGCCACUUGGGAGCGAGCGAGAGGAUGGUUCGCUCGGCCCAGAUGCUUCAGCACCCGCGCCAGGAACCGCCCAACUGUCAUGGGCAGCACAGGGCAGGGCUCGGCAGCUCCGGCCCCCAGGCGCCCAGAGACAAGAGGGAGCCCAGGACAGGUGUCCCUAGGCUCUGCCACCAGCCACUCUGAACCGUCGUGUCCAGGACAGGCCCAUUUAGACCUGGCCACCACUAUUGGAAGUCAGUCAGCAGAGAGCCUGGCAGAGGUCUGCACAGUGAGCACGGUGCAGGCAGGGCCGCCACACACUCUGACGGAGCCCCUGGAGCCGGCCUUCCUGGACAGCGGCCCCAGCCCCGGCCCCUUCUUCCUGGACUCCUCAAGGGCCGACACCUCCACCCCACAGGCCCUGAUGGUGGGAAGGUCCACCGCUCCUGUCCUUGACUCUGCACUGGAGCUGCACUCCCAGGUGGAGCCCCAGGCUGAGCUUCUCCUGGAGCCCGCUGAGCCCCCUGAGGCUGAGCCCCGGGCAUCAGCUCCAGCCCACGCUGAGGUCCCAGCUGUAGAGCUGGUGCCAGCUCCACCUGCCGCUCCCUCACAAGCUCUGGCCCCACAGCAAGAGCCGGCACCUGGAUCCCCUUUGCCGCCAGCUGCAGAGCUGGAACUCCUGGAGGCUCCACAGCAGGAGUCACCUCUUGAGCUCUACCUGGAGGCAGCUCUUGACCCAUACCUUCCAUUCCCUUGUCUUCCAGAUUUACUUCUUAUUGUAUUUACUGCUGCCCUCACUUCCCUGAGAUAUGCCGAUGAUAGAAUUUAAAUAAAAUUUAAGGUUUAGUCUUUUAAAAAAAUGACUGGUAUGGCCUUAAGAGCAUUCUCAAUAUUGUACAACCUUUACCACUGUU
rnacentral:lncRNA from 1 species